rnacentral:rRNA from 1 species
CCUACGGGUGGCAGCAGUGGGGAAUAUUGCACAAUGGGGGAAACCCUGAUGCAGCGACGCCGCGUGAGUGAAGAAGUAAUUCGUUAUGUAAAGCUCUAUCAGCAGGGAAGAAAAUGACGGUACCUGAGUAAGAAGCCCCGGCUAACUACGUGCCAGCAGCCGCGGUAAUACGUAGGGGGCAAGCGUUAUCCGGAUUUAUUGGGUUUAAAGGGUGCGCAGGCGGAAGAUCAAGUCAGCGGUAAAAUUGAGAGGCUCAACCUCUUCGAGCCGUUGAAACUGGUUUUCUUGAGUGAGUGAGAAGUAUGCGGAAUGCGUGGUGUAGCGGUGAAAUGCAUAGAUAUCACGCAGAACUCCGAUUGCGAAGGCAGCAUACCGGCGCUCAACUGACGCUCAUGCACGAAAGUGUGGGUAUCGAACAGGAUUAGAUACCCCAGUAGUC